rnacentral:rRNA from 1 species
GACGAACGCUGGCGGCGUGCUUAACACAUGCAAGUCGAACGGAAAGGCCCUGCUUUUGUGGGGUUCUCGAUUGGCGAACGGGUGAGUAACACGUGAGUAACCUGCCCCUGUCUUUGGGAUAACUUCAGGAAACUGGGGCUAAUACCGGAUAGGAUCUCCUGCUGCACGGUGGGGGUUGGAAAGUUUCGGCGGUUGGGGAUGGACUCGCGGCUUAUCAGCUGGUUGGUGGGGUAGUGGCUUACCAAGGCUUUGAGGGGUAGCCGGCCUGAGAGGGUUGACGGCCACAAGGGGACUGCGGUAGGGCCCAGACGGCUACGGUAGGCAGCAGUGGGAAAUAUUGCGCAGUAGGGGGGCGCCUGAUGCGGCAGCGCCGCGAGCGGGAUGACGGCCUUCGGGUUGUGAACCGCUUUCGCAUGUAACGAGGCGUGAGUGACGGUAAUGAGUAAGAAAGCACCGGCUAACUACGUG